CGACUUAAUCCGGCUGAUGUGAUAAUUUAGUUGAUUCGAGAGGCUACAUGUAUAUAGGCCCAGUACGUCGACAUCAUUGAUCCGGCAGUGAACAAGAUAAGUGGUUCAGCCUCCAAGAUGUGUCACCAGAAAGGCAACCGACAUUAUAGACAGGCGUGAUUACUACUCUGAUUUUGGACUGAUGGUAUACUCGUCUUCAAAAUGGACCUGACUAGGAAUGAUGAUGGUGACUUCCCUCCUCAGAAAAAAGCUCGGUUGGAUUCGAAAGUUGGUGCAGGCGGUCAUUAGCGAUAUUUCGGUCGUAAACGCAAGAAGUCCAAGAAAUCCACUGACAAAUCAGGAAAACGUAUAUUCAAUGUCGGUGACACGUGUUUGUUCAGAUUGGACUCAAAAGUUUAUCUUGGAACCGUUCUUAGUCAAGUUGAUGAACAUCAUUUCCAAAUUGAGGACUAGACAGGAACAGUGCGUACCUUCAU